CCUCAUCACUCUCCUAAGCCUUUACAAACUCUCAAAUCUUCCUCAAACACUCAAAUUCUCUCAAGAAAAUUAUGUUUUGGGCAGAAUACUCUCUAGUGUUCAAAGGUAACUUCGAUGUUCCAAUCUCAAGACUCAACAACUCACGACUUCUUUGGAAGCUUUGCAAACCGAAAUUGAUGAUGUGACGUUCAAGAAUCUAGUAGGAUGGAUUUUAGAAAUGCAUUUAAAUUUAUGUACUUUAAAUUUGUCGUAUUUGAACUUUCAUUGUUGCAUUUCUAUUUCAAGACAAUGUAUUAUUUAGUUAUUAAUAAAAUCAAGUUUAAUUAAAU